AAUUGUUUGUAGAAGUAUUCUCUUCAAGUCUUGCUAAUUUGAUUUGAAGAUCUCGCAUUCCUCAUAUAAUUUCUUCCAUCCCCAUAUCUGCUUUCUUUGACAAGGAUGUCGAAGGCUGAACUGUAGGCAUUGUUGGUGGUAUUGUACGUACUGGAGCUUUGGGUGCUUGUACUGUUUUCGAAAUAUUGCUCCUAUCCUUCCUCCUUUCUCUUUUUGUAAGCAACUCUACCGCAUCUUCAACGUUCUUCCACUUUGUUGUCAAUCCUUC
rnacentral:lncRNA from 1 species